rnacentral:RNase_P_RNA from 1 species
CGGGUCGGACGAUCUGCCGCGGCCGCGAGGCUGAGGAAAGUCCGGACAGGAAAGGGCACCCCGCUGUGGAAAGCACAGAUGGAGGUAACUUUAUGUAGGGCGUAACAGAAAAGAACCGGCUCUUCGGGGCCAAGGGUGAAAACGCGAGGCAAGAGCUCACGACGCGGGGCAGCGAUGUCCCACGGGUACGCCACCGGGGCCUGCAAGACCAAAUAUACCGGCAGAUGAGGGCGGCCCGCCCGAUGCCGGGGGGUAGGUUGCGAAGAUAAAUGGCAGAUUUAAAAACAGAAACCGGCUUAUGGUCCGGCCCUUUUC